UCCAAUUGAAGCAGAGGACAGUGGCGGACGGGUGAGUAACGCGUGAGGAACCUGCCUUUCAGAGGGGGACAACAGUUGGAAACGACUGCUAAUACCGCAUGACACAUAGAGAUCGCAUGGUUUUAUGUCAAAGAUUUUAUCGCUGAUAGAUGGGCUCGCGUCCGAUUAGAUAGUUGGUGGGGUAACGGCCUACCAAGUCGACGAUCAGUAGCCGGACUGAGAGGUUGAACGGCCACAUUGGGACUGAGAUACGGCCCAGACUCC
rnacentral:rRNA from 1 species